rnacentral:autocatalytically_spliced_intron from 1 species
AAAUGGCAGUGAGUAUAUCGCUACAAUACGCCGCCCAGUAUGUGCAAUAGUGAUAAACGCACAACAACACAUACUGAAGAUAUAGUCUGUGCCGCUGGAAACAGCGGA